AGCAGUCGAGCGGAGAGGGAGCUUGCUCCUUGAUUCAGCGGCGGACGGGUGAGUAAUGCCUAGGAAUCUGCCUGGUAGUGGGGGACAACGUUUCGCGCUAAUACCGCAUACGUCCUACGGGAGAAAGCAGGGGACCUUCGGGCCUUGCGCUAUCAGAUGAGCCUAGGUCGGAUUAGCUAGUUGGUGGGGUAAUGGCUCACCAAGGCGACGAUCCGUAACUGGUCUGAGAGGAUGAUCAGUCACACUGGAACUGAGACACGGUCCAGACUCCUACGGGAGGCAGCAGUGGGGAAUAUUGGACAAUGGGCGAAAGCCUGAUCCAGCCAUGCCGCGUGUGUGAAGAAGGUCUUCGGAUUGUAAAGCACUUUAAGUUGGGAGGAAGGGCAGUAAGCUAAUACCUUGCUGUUUUGACGUUACCGACAGAAUAAGCACCGGCUAACUCUGUGCCAGCAGCCGCGGUAAUACAGAGGGUGCAAGCGUUAAUCGGAAUUACUGGGCGUAAAGCGCGCGUAGGUGGUUCGUUAAGUUGGAUGUGAAAGCCCCGGGCUCAACCUGGGAACUGCAUCCAAAACUGGCGAGCUAGAGUACGGUAGAGGGUGGUGGAAUUUCCUGUGUAGCGGUGAAAUGCGUAGAUAUAGGAAGGAACACCAGUGGCGAAGGCGACCACCUGGACUGAUACUGACACUGAGUGCGAAAGCGUGGGAGCAAACAGGAUUAGAUACCCUGGUAGUCCACGCCGUAAACGAUGUCAACUAGCCUUGGAAUCCUUGAGAUUUUAGUGGCGCAGCUACGCAUUAAGUUGACCGCCUGGGGAGUACGCCGCAGUUAAAACUCAAAUGAAUUGACGGGGGCCCGCACAAGCGGUGGACAUGUGGUUUAAUUCGAAGCACGCAACUACCCUUGACUGCAGAAACUUUCAAAUGAUUGGGCCUUCGGUCUGACCCUGCAUCGUCACUCCGAGGAUCCAGCCGGGGGUCUACGGACAAUG
rnacentral:rRNA from 1 species